UCUUAUGUCUGUCUGAAAUCUGUAAUUGAUAAGGAUUAGGGGAGUGUUGAAUUGUUUGUCAGCUUGAGUUUUCUCUUAUGCUAUUUCAUUCCAAGGCUCCUUAUUGAUCAAAUUAGGAGGUCUUAUGGCUCACUGAUUCUCAAUUGCUGCUGUUAUGUUACUGCUGCUGUGGAAAUCUGAAAUUCUGAUUUUUGUUGCUACUGCUAUUUGGCUUGAAUAUCUUAUGGUAGUCUAUUAUACCUCUCGGAGGCUUUCACGCUAAGAAGGAAAUGGAGAAUUGCUGUUGUCAAAUCACUUCAUGACACUCCAUUGCUGCAAUUACACCAUUCAACUUGUUACUGCUACACUACUGAAGCUUGGAAAUUUUAUAAUACAGGAGGUCUUACUUCUUCACAUCUAAUGAUCAGAAUCUCGUACGACGUUCGAGUGAUUCAUGCCUGUUCGGGGGUCUCAAUGAUACUGCAUUGCUGGAGGAGAUAAAUUGGCAAGGAAAAGACCAAGUUUGGAAAAUUCAUUACAGCAUUACAGUAGAUUGUGGACCUCUGUUUGACAUCUCCUCAGCUGUAUGUGUGAAAGCCCUGGAUUUUAAUGUCUCAAUGACAGUCACCAUUAUUUGCUGUUGCUGUUUUUCAGGAAAGGGCUCAUGAAUAUUACUAUGAUGGAAUGACCAAGGAGCAGUUUAAGAAAAUGCAGGAAUUCCUAGGUGGUCGGAAGAAACCUCUGGCCAAGCUCUAGAUUUGAUCGUUUGCGAAAUUUACCUUUCUUGUACAAUAAAUCUGACGGAUAAAUGUAAAGUCGAAGGAAUGAAAAUAAAUUUAUUGUUGUUGUGGCCCUAUUCUGCUAAAUGUUCAUGAUAUGCAAUGGUGCUGUGUUUUGCCAUCAA